UGGGGAAUAUUGGACAAUGGGCGGAAGCCUGAUCCAGCCAUGCCGCGUGUGUGAAGAAGGCCUUUUGGUUGUAAAGCACUUUAAGCGAGGAGGAGGCUACUUGGAUUAAUACUCUAGGAUAGUGGACGUUACUCGCAGAAUAAGCACCGGCUAACUCUGUGCCAGCAGCCGCGGUAGUACAGAGGGUGCGAGCGUUAAUCGGAUUUACUGGGCGUAAAGCGUGCGUAGGCGGCUUUUUAAGUCGGAUGUGAAAUCCCUGAGCUUAACUUAGAAAUUGCAUGCGAUACUGAGAAGCUAGAAUGUGGGAGAGGAUGGUAGAAUUCCAGGUGUAGCGGUGAAAUGCGUAGAGAACUGGGGAAAUACCGAUGGCGAAGGCAGCCAUCUGGCCUAAUACUGACGCUGAGGUACGAAAGCAUGGGGAGAAAACAGG
rnacentral:rRNA from 1 species